rnacentral:rRNA from 1 species
UAGGGAAUCUUCGGCAAUGGGGGGAACCCUGACCGAGCAACGCCGCGUGAGUGAAGAAGGUUUUCGGAUCGUAAAGCUCUUUUGUUAGAGAAGAACAGCGCAUAGAGUAACUGUUAUGCGUGUGACGGUAUCUAACCAGAAAGCCACGGCUAACUACGUGCCAGCAGCCGCGGUAAUACGUAGGUGGCAAGCGUUGUCCGGAUUUAUUGGGCGUAAAGCGAGCGCAGGCGGUCAAUUAAGUCUGAUGUGAAAGCCCCCGGCUCAACCGGGGAGGGUCAGUGGAAACUGGUUGACUUGAGUGCAGAAGAGGGGAGUGGAAUUCCAUGUGUAGCGGUGAAAUGCGUAGAUAUAUGGAGGAACACCAGUGGCGAAGGCGACUCUCUGGUCUGUAACUGACGCUGAGGCUCGAAAGUGUGGGUAGCAAACAGG